GCCUCCGUAGCUCAGCACGGUAGAGCGGCCGCCUUGUAAGCGGCAUGUCGCGGGUUCAAAUCCCGCCGGAGGCU
rnacentral:tRNA from 1 species